AGAGUUUGAUCCUCUCUCAGAUUGAACGCUGGCGGUAUGCUUAACACAUGCAAGUCGAACGGUAGCAGCAGAGCUUGCUCUGGCUGACGAGUGGCGGACGGGUGCGUAACGCGUGGGAAUUUACCUUUUAGUGGGGGAUAGCCCGGAGAAAUCCGGAUUAAUACCGCAUAAUCUCUACGGAGCAAAGUGGGGGAUCUUCGGACCUCACGCUAUUAGAUGAGCCCGCGUUAGAUUAGCUUGUUGGUGAGGUAAUGGCUCACCAAGGCAACGAUCUAUAGCUGGUUUGAGAGGAUGAUCAGCCACACUGGGACUGAGACACGGCCCAGACUCCUACGGGAGGCAGCAGUGGGGAAUAUUGGACAAUGGGCGCAAGCCUGAUCCAGCAAUACCGCGUGUGUGAAGAAGGCCUGAGGGUUGUAAAGCACUUUCAAUAGAGACGAAAAGCUUAGGGUUAAUAACCCUGGAGCACCGGCUAACUACGUGCCAGCAGCCGCGGUAAUACGUAGGGUGCGAGCGUUAAUCGGAAUUACUGGGCGUAAAGCGUGCGCAGGCGGCUUUUUAAGACAGGUGUGAAAUCCCCGGGCUUAACCUGGGAAUGGCGCUUGUGACUGGAAGGCUAGAGUGCGGCAGAGGGGGAUGGAAUUCCUGGUGUAGCAGUGAAAUGCGUAGAUAUCAGGAGGAACACCGAUGGCGAAGGCAGUCCCCUGGGUCGACACUGACGCUCAGGCACGAAAGCGUGGGGAGCAAACAGGAUUAGAUACCCUGGUAGUCCACGCCCUAAACGAUGUCAACUAGUUGUUGGGGAAGGAGACUUCUUUAGUAACGUAGCUAACGCGUGAAGUUGACCGCCUGGGGAGUACGGCCGCAAGGUUAAAACUCAAAGGAAUUGACGGGGACCCGCACAAGCGGUGGAUGAUGUGGAUUAAUUCGAUGCAACGCGAAAAACCUUACCUACCCUUGACAUGCCAGGAACUUGCAAGAGAUUACUUGGUGCCCGAAAGGGAGCCGCAACACAGGUGCUGCAUGGCUGUCGUCAGCUCGUGUCGUCGUGAGAUGUUGGGUUAAGUCCCGCAACGAGCGCAACCCUUGUCAUUAGUUGCUACCUUUCAGUUGAGCACUCUAAUGAGACUGCCGGUGACAAACCGGAGGAAGGUGGGGAUGACGUCAAGUCCUCAUGGCCCUUAUGGGUAGGGCUUCACACGUCAUACAAUGGCGCGUACAGAGGGUUGCCAACCCGCAAGGGGGAGCCAAUCCCAGAAAGCGCGUCGUAGUCCGGAUUGUUCUCUGCAACUCGAGAGCAUGAAGUCGGAAUCGCUAGUAAUCGCGGAUCAGCAUGUCGCGGUGAAUACGUUCCCGGGUCUUGUACACACCGCCCGUCACACCAUGGGAGUGGGUUUCACCAGAAGUAGCUAGCCUAACCGCAAGGGGGGCGGUUACCACGGUGAGAUUCAUGACUGGGGUGAAGUCGUAACAAGGUAGCC
rnacentral:rRNA from 1 species